rnacentral:rRNA from 1 species
GGCUCAGAACGAACGCUAGCGGCGCGUUUAAGCAUGCAAGUCGAGCGGCAAGGGCCUUCGGGCCCCUAGAGCGGCGGACGGGUGAGUAACACGUGGACAAUCUGCCCCCCGGCCCGGGAUAGCCCAGGGAAACCUGGAUUAAUACCGGAUGAGACGGGACCCGCGAUGGCGGGAUCCGGGAAAGGCGCUGCGGCGCCGCCGGGGGAUGAGUCUGCGUCCCAUUAGCUAGACGGCGGGGUAACGGCCCACCGUGGCGACGAUGGGUAGCCGGCCUGAGAGGGUGGACGGCCACAUUGGAACUGAGACACGGUCCAGACUCCUACGGGAGGCAGCAGCUAAGAAUCUUCCGCAAUGGGCGAAAGCCUGACGGGAAGCGACGCCGCGUGAACGAAGAAGGCCGUGAGGUUGUAAAGUUCUUUUCGGGAGGGGGAACAACCGUGGCAGGGAAUGGCCGCGGGAUGACGUGAAUCCCGGAAUAAGCCCCGGCUAACUACGUGCCAGCCGCCGC